UCCGUUGUGGUCUAGGGGCUAGGAUUGUAAGUAGCCUCAACAACACCUUAUACAUACGAAUUAACAAUUAAAUAGUGCCGCUCUCAUUCUUAAGAGCUUAAAAAGUGCCGGCAAGGCCCGGGUUCGAUUCCCGGCGACGGAA